AGUGAAGCGGCAACAGCUCAAAUUUGAAAUCCCGCCCCCGGGGCCCGAGUUGUAAUUUGCAGAGGAUGCUUCGGGCGAGGCGCCUUCCGAGUUCCCUGGAACGGGACGCCACAGAGGGUGAGAGCCCCGUCUGGUCGGACGCCGAGCCCGCGUGAAGCUCCUUCGACGAGUCGAGUAGUUUGGGAAUGCUGCUCAAAACGGGAGGUAUAUGUCUUCUAAAGCUAAAUACCGGCCAGAGACCGAUAGCGCACAAGUAGAGUGAUCGAAAGAUGAAAAGCACUUUGAAAAGAGGGUUAAAAAGUACGUGAAAUUGUUGAAAGGGAAGCGCCCGCGACCAGACUUGGGCCCGGCGGAUCACCCGGCGUUCUCGCCGGCGCACUCCGCCGGGCACAGGCCAGCAUCGGUCCGGCGCGGGGGACAAAGGCUCUGGGAACGUGGCUCCCCCGGGAGUGUUAUAGCCCACCGCGCAAUGCCCUGCGCCGGACCGAGGAACGCGCACCGCAAGGAUGCUGGCGUAAUGGUCGUCGGCGACCCGUCUUGAAACACGGACCAAGGAGUCGUCUUCGUAUGCGAGUGUUCGGGUGUCAAACCCCUACGCGGAAUGAAAGUGAACGCAGGUGAGAGCCUCGGCGCAUCAUCGACCGAUCCUGAUGUCCUCGGAUGGAUUUGAGUAGGAGCAUACGGGGCCGGACCCGAAAGAAGGUGAACUAUGCCUGCGUAGGGUGAAGCCAGAGGAAACUCUGGUGGAGGCUCGCAGCGGUUCUGACGUGCGAAUCGAUCGUCAAACGUGGGCAUGGGGGCGAAAGACUAAUCGAA
rnacentral:rRNA from 1 species